UACGUAGGGUGCAAGCGUUAAUCGGAAUUACUGGGCGUAAAGCGUGCGCAGGCGGUUACGUAAGUCAGAUGUGAAAUCCCCGGGCUCAACCUGGGAAUGGCAUUUGAGACUGCGUAGCUAGAGUGAAUCAGAGGGGGGGUAGAAUUCCACGUGUAGCAGUGAAAUGCGUAGAGAUGUGGAGGAAUACCGAUGGCGAAGGCAGCCCCCCUGGGAGAUCACUGACGCUCAGGCACGAAAGCGU
rnacentral:rRNA from 1 species